AGCAGCCGCGGUAAUUCCAGCUCCAAUAGCGUAUAUUAAAGUUGUUGCAGUUAAAAAGCUCGUAGUUGAAUUUUGGGUUUGGCCGAUUGGUCCGUUCUUGUAACGAGUACUGGUCGGUUGGGCCUCACCGCCUGGUGAUGCGUAAUGUCCUUUAUUGGGUGUUGCGAGUAGCCAGGACCUUUACCUUGAAAAAAUUAGAGUGUUUAAAGCAGGCUUAUGCCGGAAUACAUUAGCAUGGAAUAAUAGAAUAGGACGAUGAUUCUAUUUUGUUGGUUUCUAGGAGCAUCGUAAUGAUUAAUAGGGAUAGUUGGGGGCAUUAGUAUUCAAUUGUCAGAGGUGAAAUUCUUGGAUUUAUUGAAGACUAACUACUGCGAAAGCAUUUGCCAAGGAUGUUUUCAUUAAUCAAGAACGAAAGUUAGGGGAUCGAAGACGAUCAGAUACCGUCGUAGUCUUAACCAUAAACUAUGCCGACUAGGGAUCGGGCGAUGUUGUUUCAAUGACUCGCUCGGCACCUUAUG
rnacentral:rRNA from 1 species